CAACUGCCAGUUGUACUACAGCAAGCCUUGUUUAACGGUGAAUGUAAGCAAGAGGCCACCUCUUCAAUUGAAGUGAACUUGUGAAAUAACCUGUAAUUAAUUGAUGAAGACCAUGACCUAAACUUAUAAUGCUCCACCAUGAAUGAAAAGUUAUUGGCAUAAUACACUUGCUUAGAUAGCCUGUAGAAAGCAGAACCCAUGAUA
rnacentral:lncRNA from 1 species